AAAACUGUGUCCGAGGCUAUCGUCGACUACGUGCAGACCUACCUACCAACCGGAUCACUCAUCGGACGUCCUCCACCUGGGGUUAAGGCUUGCUUUUACGACUGGGGAGGCCUGGUGGUGUGUAGGAACCCGAAUACUCGGCGGUACGUGCUGCGCGGGCUCGUGGGAACCAGCAAUUGCUUCUUGGAAGACACCGCUCCAGUGUUAGUGGUGGACCUGGCACAAUUCACGGACUGGAUACGGCAAUGCGAUGCGGACAUCAACAACUGCACACAACUUCAGUGAUUGAUAACGUAAUAGCUCAAAUGUCACACACACACGCAGAGAUCAACGGUGUCUUACUAGACAACGAGUACAUGGAAUAAUCUAAAAUUAAAUUGGCUUGAAGGCAGAGUCACAUGAAUAGUUAUAUUAACCCACCCCCCCCAAAAAAAAAAAAAAAAAUAAUAAUAAUAAUAAUAAUAUAAAAAAAAAUAAUAAUAAAAAAAAAAUAAUAAUAAUAAUAAAAAAUAAUAAUAAUAAUAUGUACAUGUAUAUUUAAUUUGUUCUGAAAAUGCUUUAUUCUGCAUAUAAUAGUCGUCCGAAAGACAUUUUGGUUUUUAAUUCAGUUACGGUUAAAGGUAAAGUUUGUUUUGUUUAACACCACCACAAGAGCACACUGUUUAUCAAUAAUCAGCUAUUACAUGUCAAACAUUUGGUGAUUCUGACAUAUAAUUUUAGAGUGGAAAUUGGCUACAUUUUCCCGUCAGCAAGGAGUCUUUUAUAUGCACCAUUCCACAGACAGAGCAGCACAUACCACGGCCAUUAUUACACCAGUCUUGGUGCACUAGCUGGAACGGGAAAGGGCUCAAUGGGUUCACCGGCGGGGGUCGAUCCUAGGCCGACCGCACAUCAGGCAAGCGCUUUACCAUUAGGCUAUGUCCCGCUCCCAAUUCAUUUACGACUAUGUAGCGUUUAAACAAAAUAAUAAAAAAAACCCAGUGAUUGUCUGAUUUUUGUGACUCUGCCAUUAAAAGGAUAAACUGUGGGAAAAUAACCUAACUAUACUGAUAAAGUUUUGGGUUUUUUAAAACUCUUUUUUCGGGGUGUGGUGUAUUUUAUCACGAUUUUUUGUGUUAAUUUUUAAACAAUAAUUUGUGUUUAUCUACGUCUAUUCCGUUGUCUGGCUGUAAAUUUAUUAUUAUCAUUUUAUUUAUAAUAAAAAAUGUCGUUAAUUUA